rnacentral:lncRNA from 1 species
GGCAUAUUUCAACUGACUUGAAUGCUUGGAAUUCGUUAAAAUCUGCACUAUAUGUUCAACCCCGAACUCAUCACUCUCUCCUUUAGCUUCACCACAGAUGAUGUCUUUGUUAUAUAAGCUGUCUUUUCGAUUUAUAUCAUAUGAUUUUCCUGAAGAAAUCUCGUUUUUGUUUAAUAUGUCACGUGUUCUAUCCGUGUAGCUAUUACUAUGAUAAUUAUUAUUGUUUAUUCCGACGGUAGAUCCGAUUUUGUUGUAAAUUUUUUCCAUAUCAAUUCCAAUUUAAGCUCAGUAUCUCACCACGUUUAUUCCUGUCAGACCAAUGCUGUUCCGGAAUUCCAAACAUUACAUAAUAAUUCCACGUUUGUAUAAAAACUGAAAAUAAGUAGAUUUGGUGAAGAGUUUAACAAUGUUUAAGGAAACAAAGCGAA